UCGUGAUCACGCCAAAAUCUGACUUUAGGCCCGGACAAUCUCAAUACCCUCUUAAACCUGAAGCCACUGAGGGAAUUAGACCAGUUUUCAAUUCAUUGUUGGAGGCCGGGGUCAUUGUCCCCUGUCCAGAUUCGCCAGUGCGCACUCCAAUAUUUCCGGUAAAGAAAGCAAGAAAACUCCCACAACCUGAUGAAAGGAGAUUUGUACAAGAUUUGCAAGUGGUUAAUGUAGCAGUAAAACAAAGAGCUCCAGACGUGCCAAAUCCUUACACUAUAUUAAGUCAGUUUCCAGCAAAUAGCAAAUGGUUUUCAGUCGUAGAUUCAGCUAAUGCAUUUUUCAGUAUUCCUCUGGAGAAAAAUAGCCAGUUCUGUUUUGCGUUCAUGUUUGACGGUCGUCCUUACACAUUCAUUCAUCUAUGUCAGGGAUCUUGUGAAUCACCAACAAUUUAUAACCAGGUGCUGAAGGAUAGCUUGGCGUCUUUAGUGUUAUCCCCAGUUUCUUCAAUAUGUUGACGAUCUAAUGAUUUGCGCCCCCUCCAGGGCACAGUGUGAAACUGACACCGUUAAAUUGUUGCAGCAUCUCGUUAAGGAGGGACACAAAGCCAGUCUCUCAAAACUACAGUUUGUGAAGCAAGAAGUGAGGUUCUUGGGUCAUGACAUUUCUGCAAAGGGAAAGAAACUCUCAGCUGACAGAUUAUCUGCAAUCCAGAAGAUUCCCAAGCCCCUGGCGAAGAAACAGGUAAAUGGCGCACUUAUAUAGCGCUUUCAUCUAAAGUGCUUUACACUGUGUCUCAUUCACCCAUUCACACACAUACUCACACACCAAUGGUAGCAGAGCUGCCAUGCAAGGCGCUAACUUGCCAUCAGGAGCAACUUGGGGUUCAGUGUCUUGCCCAAGGACACUUCGGCAUGUGGAGUCAUGUGGGCCGGGAAUCGAACCGCCAACCCUACAUUUAGUGGACGACCCGCUCUACCACCUGAACCACAGCCGCUCAGUUAAUUUCUUAUCUUUCCUAGGGAUGUGCUCCUACUGUAGGACUUUCAUUCCAAAUUAUUCCAUUCUUGAGGCACCUAUUAGAUAUAUUGUACACGCAUCGGGGUUGAUGGCUCACUCACAGACCCUGUAGCAGCAGAUUUUCCUCCAUGUAUGAGAGCAGUUGCAGCAGCAGAGAAAGCUGUGGUGGCAUCCAGAGACCUGAGGGACACGGAGAACCACAUGACUGUGUCGUACUGACUAACGAACUCUGCUCCCCUAGAGUCGACCUGAAGGAUGUUCCAUUGGAAAACCCAGAUCUGAUCCUUUUUGGGGACGGGUCAGCGUCACGUCAACAGAGACGGGUAAAAAUCGAGUGGGCUAUGCAGUAGUAACUGCACACGAAACGGUCUGUCAGGAAGUCUCCCCUCAAACCUUUCAGCACAAGCAGCUGAACUGUAUGCCCUCAUAGAGGCAUGAAGACAUGUUGAGGGACAGUCAGUAAAUAUCUACCCAGACAGUAGAUAUGCCUUUGAGGUAGUACAUGAUUUUGGAACAAUUUGGAAACACAGGAACUUCCUCAUGAGUUCAGGAACACACAUAGCCCACCACAAACUGGUCUCUGAGCUGCUGGAUGCAGUCCUACUCCCCAAAACUAUUGCAGUAUGCAAAUGUGAUGCACACACUAACAAAUUAGACCCUGUUUUCCUAGGAAACACUUGAGCGAACAGUGCAGCAAAGCAAGUAGCUGCAUCUAUGGUCCCAAAACGCAAAAGAAAAUAUUAACUCCUUCUUUACAGCUUUCAGACCUCCAAGCACGAGCUACGGACGAGGAAAAGGCUGUGUGGUGCAAAGCAGGCUGCACGGUUGUUAACGGAGUUUGGCGGUUCCCCAGGGCUGUCCUUGUCUUCAAAAUUGAUGCAUGGCAGGAACCAUGCGUCAAAAGGGGGAAUGAUAGUUGCGUUAAAGCAUUGGUUUCUCUAAUUACUCUAAAAAAAAAUGUUGUUUACGCUGUUUGCGCAACUCAUAACGUGGGUUGAGGUUUGAAGGUAGAGAAGGCCACGUCCCUAUGUCCAAACAGGACUCAGACGCUGUAGCAAAGGUGUUGCUUAGAGAAAUAAUUCCUAGAUGGGGAAUUCCCACAAAAAAUGUCACUCAUUUUACCUUCAGAGGACGAGUCUGCGAGUGUUGUCUAAUUUCCACGACACCCCCUUUCACUCUCCCAAUCUUUACAGUAUAUCUUGAAAGAGAGUCAGUUCAUGUACACUUUGCCAUGUAAGUGUUAUCUGUGGAACUGUUUUAAGGUACGUUCACACAUACAGAGACUCACAGUGGCAAAGCAACAAAUGACCAUUCAUUUUCAAUGAGAGAUGGCGACUUCCAGUGACAUGAGCGAAGCGACCGUUAGAGACUACAUGUGGGCAUGUCCAGUGUAGCGACAAAGUUGAGAAAAGUUGAACUUUGUGCAAAUUUGGACCAACUUGGUAGAGCGACUAACAAUGCAAGUGAAGACAGUCGAGCGCAUGUGAACCGUGAUCCGCCAUGCUGUUGGCAAGUUCAAAUUGUUUUGUGGACUGAGACAGUCGGGCGCUUGCGCUUUUGCCGCAGAUUGAUGGCCGCAAUGGCAAAGAGCACACACUGUUUCUCCUUCAUCUCGUAGGAUAUGAUGCAUAUGUAGACUGGUGAAUUUUAUAUACAAACGCUCCUCCUGCAGAAUGUUUCAUUUUAGUGGCAACAAAGCUAGUUUGUUGUCAGAAGUUGAAUGCUAGUUCCGCCACCCACUGAUAAAGGUUACUAUGGCAAUCAGUAGUACGAACGUCUACUGGCGACGUCAUAGUAUAGCGAGUGGCGACUUGUAGCGAUAAAAUCGCUGCAUGUGUGAAUGUAGCCUUUAGAUUUAAUUCCCAUUAUUUAAUAUAAAACAAGAUUGUGUGGAGUAUUUUUAAACUAGCCCAGUUUGGCAACCCUUUCUUUAAUGCUGCGCUUAAUCAUGGUUGUCAAUUUGUAAUUCCCAACCUCCAACCAAAGUGACCAAAACGGUCCCCGAUUACAGAGACGUCAAAUCAACAUGGCUGUGCACAGUGUCAGAUGUAAACAAAGAGUCAAUAUAAUGUAUAUGCAAGUUUUAGUUUUAGACCAAUCAACAUACAGACAUAUUUGCUUGUUAAAUCUAAAACACUGACUAUACAGUUUGAUGUACAGAUGGAAAAUAUGCAUCACUCAUCACAAUUAGCUGGCUAGCUUGUUGCUAACAAAAGAAAACAUUGAGGCGUCCAUGUUUUUUUCUACUAUAUCGAUAUCGCAGAGGUCGAAAAUGAUGUCAUUUUAAUGUGGGUUGAAUGUUUCCCUGAGCAUGGGGCAAUGCGAAUCCUGCCCCAAUGUGCAUGUGUUAGCGCUUGUUGAAAUUCCCAUUUUGACCACUGGUGUAAUAAUAUCUCUACGGAGCUAAAGGAGCAAAAUGGGGUGUUGGGCACACUGACACACAAUUGUGCAACAUCUAGAAAAGCAAGCAAAUCUGCUUACAUUUACAUUUAUUCAUUUAGUAGACUCUUUUAUCCAAAGCGACUUACAAAUGAGGAAACACAAGCAAAGCGGAGAACAAUACAAGUAGUGCUACAAUGCAAGAUUUUUCAAUUGAGUUCUAGAAAAGCAAAGUGCGCAGAGUAGUAUAUGGAGUUGUGAAUGCUUAUAAAUGUCAAAUAGAAAUGUUUUUUAAAAAAAUCUUUGGUCACAGAAAACAUAGAAAGUUUUAAAGCAAAAGACACAAAAAGGCAUUUCAAUGUAAUUAUAAAUAUGAAUUCAAAUAUAUGGAGUCGUGAAUGAGGACUUUCAUUAACAUUUGUUGAACAGAUGAUAUACAGGUGUAUGCAAAAGUUUGGAAACCCCUGACCAAAGUAUAUAUUUUGUCGAUUUUUGAAGUGAAAAAAGUAAAUACAACCUCUGUAACAAACUAUUUUAAAAAGGAAAAAAUUCUGCAAAUGCUAAUGCACAGUAAAUUUGAUGGACUUAAACAAUGGAAAACAUUCAAAUAGUAAUCGUGGCAUGUGCAAAUAUUUGGACAUUUUAAGUCAGUACUAACAUCCCCUUUGGCAAAAGGCCAGGCAGGAGGCUUUCUAUUCUUGUUCAAUACAUUUUCACCCACUCUUCAUUGCAAAACGUUUCUAGUUCUGAGAUAUUCCUGGGCCGUCUUGCAAGCAUAGCAUGUUUAAGAUCUACCUACAGAUUUUCAGUGAUGUUUAAGUCUGGGAACUCUGAAGGCCAUCCCAAAAGCUUCAGCUUGUGUUUCAAGUAGUUCAUCAUAGAGUUUGAGGAAUGUUUUGGACCAUUGUCCUGUUGAGGAUGCUGACUGUGUCCCAUUUGCUUCCAGAAUUUGCUGAUAUUUACUGGAAUUCAUUCUUCCAGCUACCUGUGCAGUGUUUUCUGUGCCCAUGCCAUGCAACCCUAAGGCUUAUCCACCCCUCCAUGUUUAACAGUUGGCAAGGUGAUCUUUUUUCCUCUGAACAAACUGUUGGUGAUUAUGGCUAAAGAGUCAUAUUAGUGCACAGCAACUAUUUCCAAAAUACCUCUGGCUUAACUAGAUGGUUUUUUUCAUACUUUAGACCAGUGGUUCUCAAACCUUUUCACUGUGAGGCCCCCCUUGUGUAGGGUGCAUCCCUUUGUGGCCCCCAAGAGUCGUAAAAUUUUCACAAUUUCUUUUUUUCACGCUAGGCUCUUCUGCACUAACUUUGUCAGCUAAAAACUUAUCCAUUUUAAAUAGUCUUAGUUUUUAUCAGCGGGUGGCUAACAGUACAGUAGUAUAUCAACGGAUGUCUCUGUUUGGUGUGUGUCUUAGUGUGCUGUGUAUAAUUGAUUUAAUUAUUAAUAUUUCUAAUUCUUAUAUACAUCAUAGUUCAAAGGUUGACAAUCCCGACUUACAUACAGGUAAAAUUCAUUUAAAAAAAAUAAUGUUCUAUAUUUUUCUGUGCGGCCCCCCUGGUGCCAUCUGGCAGCCCCCCAGGAGGCCACGGCCCCCAGUUUGAGAACCACUGCUAUAGGCCAUGGCUGUAGAGUAUUAGCACAAGAUUUGAAGAGCCAGAGAACUGCUUACGCUCUGGAAUCCUUGACUUUACUACUGGAAGGGUGUCCAAAGUUUUGCACAUGCAACAAUUAUUAUUUGUUUUCCUAUUUUUUUCAAGGUCCAUCAAAUAUCAAGAAACUGUGUAUUAACAGUAUUUGCAGGAAAAUGUGCAAGCAGAAUGUGUAUUUUGUCUAUGGGUGCUAAAAAUUUUGAAUACAACUGUACUAUAUGGUGGGAUUGUAUAUGGAGGGAGGUGAAAUUUUCUUCAGAACAGAUUUUGCACAUUAUAUGUCUUACUAACUCAGAGAGAGGAAAAAAAGAAGCUGAAGAAGCGACUGUUUACAGCUGCUCUAACGUAAGCAAACAGACGAACAGAUCUUCCAUUUGUAACAAUAAAUUUAACAAUAAACCGAUAAUAAGUAUGAUGUGUCAUUCUUUAAUUAAUAAACAAAUUGUAAUUCUGCCUAAUUGCUAUGGUAUAAGGAGGAUAAAACUCUUCAGGUCAUGCUGUUAUUGGAAUCAAAUUCAGAGUACAGUCAGGACAGCCCUCGUUGCCCCAUACAGUCACAGAUAUAGCACGUCUAGUGUGUACAACAAAAUUUCAAGCUGUCAUUUAAAACACUAUAGAUUUAAUAGGUGAAUUAAAAAAUUAUAAUUAUUGUAGGCUUGUGUGUAAAUAUACAGGGUGUCCCAAAAGUCUCCAUAUAUAGGGGACUAUGUUGGCUAGCAUCAUGCCAGUUAUGCCUUCGUCAGUGGGUGUUCGUGGACGUCCACUUCUCCGUUGAUCCGCGACACUUCCAGUCUUUUUGAAUUUGUUAAGAAAUUAGGCAACCGGGUCGUGUGUGAUGUGCUCGCCAUGCUUCCUGUUAAAGUCCAUGUUUCCUGUUUGGUGAAAGACAAAGGUGUUCAUCUCCUCUAUAUAUGGAGACCUUUGGGAAACC